GGUAGUAGAGUUAAGGUCUUGAAACUCAAAGAAUUUGGCGGUAUUUUAGUCUUUUCAGAGGAACCUGUCCUGUAAUUGAUAAUACACGAUUUGCUUUACUUUUUUUGGUUUAGUUUGNAUACCGCCGUCUUAAGAUUGUCUUUUGAGAGUGGAAUUUUCUUUAUGUAUUAUUUAAAAUUAAGUCANGUCAAGGUGCAGCUUAUAAAGNAGGGGAGAUGGGUUACAGUAAUAGUAAUUAUACGAAUG
rnacentral:rRNA from 1 species